UUUCCUUUUAAGUUUAAGAGUUGCGAUCUGCGUUAUGUUGCAGUAAUGACUUGCGUAAAUAACGUAGUGCAGCAUUCAUAGUAUGUACGGUUGUAACGUGACCGGUUAUUCACUGUUGCUUCAGCACGGCAGACCCGCCGCGCGCUCUCACUCAGGUGCAGUGUUUAUGUGCAAGAGAAAGUGCGUGAUGAAGUAAGUUACUUCAAUAUAUAUUGUUAAUUACCUAGAUAAUUACAGUGUACCACGAUCGUGUUAACUUUAACAGUGUUUAUGAUGUUAUUGAUGUUAUUGAUGUUUAGCGAUCUUUUUGAGUGUAAUUUGAUCCUGUUUAACGAGCGGUUUAGCCCGCUAGCAUCGCAGCGUGCAUUGUUCAUGUUUACAAUUUUAUUACAUUGAAGUGACAUUUCAUGGUGAUAAUAACUUCCAGCAGCUAUUAUUACUAACUUCUGUAUUAAUGAUACAUUCUCAUUUCUGUAUAUAUUUUAUAUUUCGUUGUUUGUAAUUUUACUAAGCAGAUUAUUCUCACAGAUAUAUUGCUGAUACAUUUCUAUAUAUAUUCUAUAUCAGCGCAUUUGACAGUUGUUUAUUAUAGAGUUUGUUAUAUGUUGAGUUAUUGGUAAUAUGUGAACAAUGAGUAUUUAUAUCUGUUGUUUUAUUUAUUUCAGAAACUACCUCAAAUACACUAACAUGUGUGUUAGGUCACAUCUUGUGCAAUAAAUCAUCAAAUAAAUAUGAUGACUCCGACUCCUUGACAAGAGUUCUGCAGCGGUCAAUAAAUAUUAACCAGCAUUCAGUGGGGCAAUCCCCAACAUUGGUCCUUCGAGCCGGAGCUAUUGACUACUGCAGUGAUGUCAUCGAAAGAGCAAGCCACUUCUCUCCCUCAAACUGAGACGUCAGACAGACCCUCACGGCAUCGUCGCACACCCAGGCAUCUGGAAGAGUAUCAUGUUGACUAUGGCCAUCACCGACCUGCUCUCUCCUCCCCACCCACAGAAGAGGUGCAAGUGGAGCAGAGAGGAGCAGCAGCCGCAGUGGGCCUAGCUAGUCAGUCACGAACAGUCUCCAGACAAGGUGAGCACCCAGACACAAGCUCCAUGGAUUUGUUGAGCAUGAGUUCAUUGAGGAAAAUGUUGAAGACUAUUUCUGACAAAGAGAAGGAUGAGGCUGCUGAUAUGGCUGCACUUCACAGUAAACUUCAACAAUAUGAAAAACGACAGCGUCGGCGUAAAGAGCUGAUGGAACAUAUCACGUCGUUCUUGAGGGAAGAAGAGGAUGAGGAGGAUGAUCAAAGUGAAAAGCAUAUAACACCACCAGUACGAUCCCCUUCAGUAACUUCUCCACGUUUGCCUCCCUCAAGUCAUACUACUCCAUCACAGUCACCUGACAUUGAGCUACCUACCCAAGGAUGUGUGAGUGACAUGCAAAAGAAUGCAAGUAAAUCUCCUGCGGAGGCUGAGGAUUUUAACUCUGGAUUUGUUCCAAUAUGUCCAGUCAGUUCAAUCCCCUUGUAUUCACCAGUAUCUUCUGGAACUAUACCUACUGUUUCACACCAACAACAACCUGCUAUAAGAGCAGAGACUGUGCCACCACUGUUUACGAAGCAGUCCCCCAUUUAUGAUGCUGGAAAGGCUUUUCAACCUCAAGUGCAGCCACCUUUAAUGGCACCUAAGCCAGUCUACCAGCACCUUAAUGCAGUUUAUGGCCAUUUGACAGGGUCACCUUCACAACAGCAGUUUACUGCUCUGCCUACAGCAAGUUUUGCGACUCCUCAUUAUACUCUUAUGACUCCAGCAGCAUCAGUCUCUCAAACCCAGCCUAGAGUUCCAGUUAUGACACUACAUCCUCCUGCCUUUGAUACCCCCUCUCUGCAGCCAUUUAAUAAAGCACUGAAUCCAACUGAAUACUUUGUGCCUCAACGCCCUUUGCAUGCUGCCCCACAACCAAAGAUUCCUGAUUUUGUGAAUGACAAUGAAAGGGAAUUUGCUAACCUGAAGUUAGCACUGGACAACCUUCUUGAACCACAUGCAGAGCUAGAUGAGAAAUACAAGUACCAUAUUUUGCUGGAGCACCUCAAAUUGCCUGAAGCACAGAUGAUUGGCCAGUCUUGUCGCCAUCAUUUGUACCCAUAUUCAGCAGCUAUGCAAGCCCUUCAGUUGCAAUAUGGUCAACCACACCAACUGGCUCAGAGCGAAAUAGCAGCAAUCCUCACAGCCCCAGAGGUCAAACCAAAUGAUGCUCACAGCUUCCAGAGUUUCGCUCUUCGUGUACACCUCUUAGUGAGUAUGCUUUUGUCGUUGGAGGGUACCAGAGGGAUGGAGUUGAACUGUUGUUCACAUGUAGAUCGUUUACUCAGUAAGCUGCCCAAGUACUUAAGAGAUGGCUUCAUAGAGUUUCUCCAGCUGAGAGGGAAGCUAAACUCCCCAAGUAUUAACCCGUACAACCUACAAGACUUUGCUGGAUGGCUCCAAGUCAAGGCUCAGCAACAGCGACUUUCCAGUAGGUUAGUGCAACGUUACCAGUAUGAAAGAGCACCCAGUAGUUCAAAGGAGAAGAAUGCAGCUAAACCGAAAAGCCAAAGUACAACCUUGUAUCAUGGUGUAUCACCCACAGAGACUAAACCAUCCUCCAGUCCUAAGGUGUCUUGGAAAAGAACAUCACCCAAAGUUAUCUGCCUAUUCUGUGGCAGCAAAGAUCACUACAUCACUCGAUGCAGUAGUAUCAGAGAGCAGCCUGUUGCUGAACUUUGCAAGUGGAUUUCGGAGGAAAAGCGCUGCUGGAAAUGUGCUCGUUCCCAUGCCCCCGAGACCUGUAAUCUAAAGAAACCCUGCAGUGACUGUGGUGGUAUUCACCUUCAAGUGCUUCAUGGUGUGGCCCAAAGUUAUACAACUAACACAGCAUCAGCUAACUCUGAGAGCCGUAUCUACCUCUUACCAUCCAUUGCAUCAGGCAGAGUCCUUCUGAAGGUGGUACCAGUGCUGCUACAUCACAGAUCAAAGACAUUUGAGACUUAUGCUAUACUGGAUGAUGGAGCACAGCGCACCAUGAUCCUGCCCACUGCUGUCCAGCAACUGCAGCUGAAAGGCGAACCUGAGACUCUAGCCCUUCGUACCGUCCGACCAGACACUACUCACCUCAGUGGCACAAAAGUCACCUUUGAAAUCUCUCCGAGAAAUAACCCAGAGAAACGUUAUCAGGUGUUAGGAGCAUUUACAGCUUCUGGUCUUGAUCUGGUAGAACAAACAUACCCAGUUCAGGCUCUUCGGAGACGGUAUGCACAUCUAAGGGGAGUUCCACUACAGCCAUUUCACAAAGUGCAUCCGCUUGUACUCAUUGGUUCGGACCAAGUUCAUCUCAUUACAGCCAAAGAGCCAAUUCGUCAAGGCACCAAAGGGGGUCCAGUAGCAGUCCAUACAGCUCUUGGGUGGGCUCUCCAAGGAGCAGUAAUGGGUACCACAGACCAGGCACCAGUGCAGCAAUGUUUCUUUAUCUCUACAGCUCACACAGAUGAUCUUCUCUACAGAAAUGUGGAAAGGUUAUGGCAAUUGGACGUAUUGCCCUUUCGCAAUGAGAAGCUGGUGGUCCGGUCCAGACAAGAUAACGAGGCUAUGCAGCUGCUUGAGUCUCAAACGCAGCAAGUCAGUGUACAGGGUGUACAACGUUAUGCCACCCCACUUCUGUGGAAGACAGGUGCCCUUAAGCUCAAGGGAUCUAUGCAAUCUGUUCUUGCAAACCUAAGAAGUACUGAAAGGAGACUCCAGAAAGACCAUGUGAAGGCCUCAAUCUACUCAGGAGAGAUUGCUAAACUCAUUGAAGCAGAUUAUGUAGCCAAACUGAACCAAAGGGAAGCAGCCCAGGCAGAAGAAUCAUGGUACCUGCCCCACCAUCUGGUGAGCCAUAACAAUAAACCACGACUGGUUUUUAACUGUUCAUUCAAACACCAGGGUCUUUCUCUUAACAAUCAACUCCUGCCUGGCCCUGCUCUUGGACCAUCACUGUUGGGCGUCCUUCUGAGAUUCAGAGAGCAUCAUGUGGCUGUAAGUGCAGAUAUUAAGGGCAUGUUCCAUCAGGUUCGUCUCCUACCAAAGGACAGACCCUAUCUCCGUUUCAUUUGGAGAGACCUGCAGAGCGAGAACCCUCCAGAUGUAUAUGAAUGGCAGGUCCUACCAUUUGGUACAACAAGCAGUCCAUGCUGUGCCAUCUUCGCUCUGCAACAUCAUGCUCAUAAUUCUGAAGCCGAAUAUCCAGGGUUACAAGAAAUAGUACACCAGAGCUUCUAUGUGGACAAUUGUCUCACAAGCUUUCGUACUGUUGCUGCAGCCAAACAAAAAGUGGAUCAAUUACGCAGCAUGUUAGCAAAAGGAGGAUUCGACCUCAGACAGUGGGCUAGUAGUCACCCAGCCGUGAUCGCUCAUCUUCCUACUGAAGCCCGCUCCUCCGCUACAGAGCAGUGGUUGGUCCAAACCCAUGUUGACCCAAUGGAGCCCACAUUGGGGCUUCGCUGGAACUGCGCAACUGAUAGCCUUGGCUAUCAUUACCGGCCUAUUGAGCAUGCAGCCCUGACAAUGAGAACAGCCUACCAGGUGCUGGCAUCUCAGUAUGAUCCAUUGGGGUUUAUACUACCAUUUACCACAAGGGCUAAGGUAAUCAUCCAACAGUUGUGGACAAAAAAGAGAGACUGGGAUGAUCCAAAUCUACCGCCAACCCUUAAGGCGGCCUGGAUAAUUUGGGAGAGUGAGCUAGAACAUCUCAGGACAGUAUCCAUUCCUCGCUGUUACCUAACGGUCUUCACAACUCCAGCAGAACAGAACAUUUCCCUCCAUGUGUUCUGCGAUGCCUCUGAAAAAGCAUAUGGGGCAGUGGCAUAUUUUGCAAUUCAAUCCGACAGUGUCAUUCACGUUUCCUUCAUAAUGGCCAGAUCGAGGGUUGCUCCAAAGAGGCAGCAGUCAAUGCCUCGUCUGGAGCUUUGUGCUGCCUUAGCUGGAGCACAGCUAGCCAAACUGGUGAGGAAUGAGACCACUCUCUCCAUCAGUCAGACAAUCCUAUGGACAGACUCCUUAACUGUGCUGGAAUGGAUUCAAUCAGACUCCUGUCGAUAUAAAGUGUUCGUCGGAACUCGAGUCUCCGAGAUACAGGAGCUAACUGAUCACAGAUCAUGGAGGUACGUAAAUACACAGGACAACCCCGCUGACGACAUAACACGAGGGAAAUCACUCCAAAGUCUGGCUGAGCCUAGUCGCUGGAGUCAAGGACCUCCAUUCUUGAAACAAAACGAAGAACACUGGCCUAAAAAACCUGAACUCACCCAGUCAGAGGGAGUAUCCGAAUUAAAAGGACUUCCAAGCUACUGCCUAAUAGCAUUUGACAUUGUCUCCAACCUCCCUGAUUCUACCCAGUUCAAAUCAUGGUGUGAAUUAGUAGAAGCAACUCGACGGGCCUGUCAUGGGGCGGCCACAUCGGAUUGUGCUUCCAGUGAGCCUAUAACAAGCAAAGAGGCAGAAGCUGUCCUGAUAAGAGCAUGCCAACUCCAGAGCUUUCCUGAAGAAGUUGCUGCCCUCAAGGCAAAGAAACCAGUUCCUGCACACAGCCGAUUAGUCAGUCUUGCUCCAGAAUGGGAUCCACUGAAAAACAUGAUAAGAGUUGGAGGCAGAUUAAGAAGGUUAGCAAACUCAGACCCAGAACAAAUCCACCCUAUUGUGCUGGACUCCAGACACACAAUAACGAAGCUCCUUAUCAAAGAAUUUGAUGAGCGUCUGUUACAUCCAGGAGCAGAAAGAGUCUACGCUGAAAUAAGGAGACAGUACUGGAUUCUUAGAGGGCGUCAGGCCAUAAAGUACCAUCAGCUACACUGUCUGUCCUGUCAGCGAUGGAGAGCUCAGCCAAAGGUCCCACAGAUGGCAGAUUUGCCACCAGAACGCCUCCGAUUGCUCUGUCCACCUUUCCACUCAACUGGUGUUGACUGCUUUGGCCCAUACCUGGUCAAAAUCGGGAGAAGAAAUGAGAAACGCUGGGGAAUAAUCUUCAAAUGUCUUACAACUAAGGCAGUACACAUUGAGCUCCUCAAUUCAAUGGAUGUAGAUGCCUUCCUUCUUGCGCUCCGCCGGUUCAUAGCCAGAAGAGGUAAACCACACGAGAUUCGUUCGGAUUGUGGCACCAAUUUCCGGGGAGCUGACAGAGAAUUACGGGAAGCUUUCUCAAUUAUGGAGCCAGAACUCAAAGUUCAGCUUUCAGACUAUCAAAUUAGCUUCAUGUUCAAUCCACCUAGUGCUCCACACUUUGGCGGAAUAUGGGAGCGUGAAGUCCGUUCCAUAAAGAAUGCUCUCCAGGUGGCUCUCGGAAUGCAAGCUGUCACAGAAGAUGUUCUGUCCACAGUCCUAGUGGAAGUAGAAGGGAUCCUCAAUUCGAAACCAUUAGGAUAUGCCUCAUCAGAUGUUGCUGACAUGGAUCCGAUUACUCCUAAUAUUCUCCUUAUGGGGCGGCGGGAUGCAUCGCUGCCUCAGGUGGCAUACGCUCCAGGAGACAUGGGGCGGCGGCGAUGGCGGCACUGUCAGAACAUGGUGGACCAGUUCUGGAUUCACUUCACUAGAAACUACUUGCCUACGCUCCAGACCCGACAGAAGUGGCAUAAGGCUUCAAAGAACCUGGAAGUUGACUCUGUCGUAUUGAUUGUGGAUCCGCAGCUCCCAAGAGCUCAGUGGCCCAUAGGCAGAGUUCGAAAGACAUUGCCCAGUAGUGAUGGAUGUGUGCGGACUGCUGAAAUCGUCGUUAAUGGUAAAGUUUACACCAGACCAGUUGCCCGCCUGAUAGAGUUACCUGCUUUAGAAGGUAAUACCAAAGACAUUUAGAGAAUUCCCUUUAUUACCCAUUUGCUGCUCAAAUGUGGGGGCGGCUGUUGUGAAUUCUUUCCUUUUAAGUUUAAGAGUUGCGAUCUGCGUUAUGUUGCAGUAAUGACUUGCGUAAAUAACGUAGUGCAGCAUUCAUAGUAUGUACGGUUGUAACGUGACCGGUUAUUCACUGUUGCUUCAGCACGGCAGACCCGCCGCGCGCUCUCACUCAGGUGCAGUGUUUAUGUGCAAGAGAAAGUGCGUGAUGAAAAACUACCUCAAAUACACUAACAUGUGUGUUAGGUCACAUCUUGUGCAAUAAAUCAUCAAAUAAAUAUGAUGACUCCGACUCCUUGACAAGAGUUCUGCAGCGGUCAAUAAAUAUUAACCAGCAUUCAGUGGGGCAAUCC